rnacentral:tRNA from 1 species
GCGGCUAUAGCUCAAUUGGAUAGAGCGUCGGACUACGGAUCCGAAGGUUAGGGGUUCGACUCCUCCUGGCCGCACCA